GACGAACGCUGGCGGCGUGCUUAACACAUGCAAGUCGAACGGAAAGGCCCUGCCUUUGUGGGGUGCUCGAGUGGCGAACGGGUGAGUAACACGUGAGUAACCUGCCCUUGACUUUGGGAUAACUUCUGGAAACUGGGGCUAAUACCGGAUAGGAGCUCCUGCUGCAUGGUGGGGGUUGGAAAGUUUCGGCGGUUGGGGAUGGACUCGCGGCUUAUCAGCUUGUUGGUGGGGUAGUGGCUUACCAAGGCUUUGACGGGUAGCCGGCCUGAGAGGGUGACCGGCCACAUUGGGACUGAGAUACGGCCCAGACUCCUACGGGAGGCAGCAGUGGGGAAUAUUGCACAAUGGGCGGAAGCCUGAUGCAGCAACGCCGCGUGCGGGAUGACGGCCUUCGGGUUGUAAACCGCUUUCGCCUGUGACGAAGCGAGAGUGACGGUAAUGGGUAAAGAAGCACCGGCUAACUACGUG
rnacentral:rRNA from 1 species